rnacentral:rRNA from 1 species
AUUGAACGCUGGCGGCAGGCCUAACACAUGCAAGUCGAGCGGAUGAGAGGAGCUUGCUUCUCGAUUCAGCGGCGGACGGGUGAGUAAUGCCUAGGAAUCUGCCUGGUAGUGGGGGACAACGUUUCGAAAGGAACGCUAAUACCGCAUACGUCCUACGGGACAAAGCAGGGGACCUUCGGGCCUUGCGCUAUCAGAUGAGCCUAGGUCGGAUUAGCUAGUUGGUGAGGUAAUGGCUCACCAAGGCGACGAUCCGUAACUGGUCUGAGAGGAUGAUCAGUCACACUGGAACUGAGACACGGUCCAGACUCCUACGGGAGGCAGCAGUGGGGAAUAUUGGACAAUGGGCGAAAGCCUGAUCCAGCCAUGCCGCGUGUGUGAAGAAGGUCUUCGGAUUGUAAAGCACUUUAAGUUGGGAGGAAGGGUUGUAGAUUAAUACUCUGCAAUUUUGACGUUACCGACUGAAUAAGCACCGGCUAACUCUGUGCCAGCCGCCGCGGUAACAC